GAUGAACGCUAGCGGAAGGCUUAAUACAUGCAAGUCGAGCGGUAGGUGGCUUCGGCCAUUGAGAGCGGCGCACGGGUGAGUAACGCGUACAUGACCUGCCUGUCAGAAGGGGAUAGCCCUGGGAAACUGGGAUUAAUACCCUAUGGUAUUGAUAUUAUGAAUGAUAUCAAUUAAAGUUGAGGCGCUGACAGAUGGAUGUGCGUCUGAUUAGCUAGUUGGUAGGGUAACGGCCUACCAAGGCGACGAUCAGUAGGGGGCGUGAGAGCGUGGUCCCCCACACGGGUACGUGAGACACGGACCCGACUCUACGGGAGGCAGCAGUAAAGGAAUAUUGGUCAAUGCCCGCAAGGU
rnacentral:rRNA from 1 species